rnacentral:rRNA from 1 species
AGCAUUUCGGUGUGUAAACCUCUGUCGAUGAUGAAUAAAGCAUGUGGGAGUGGAAAGCCCAUGUGUUGAAGGUAAUCAUGAAGGAAGCACCGGCUAACUCUGUGCCAGCAGCCGCGGUAAUACAGGGGGUGCAAGCGUUGUUCGGAAUCACUGGGCGUAAAGGGAGCGUAGGCGGAACUACAAGACAGGGGUCAAAUCUCCGGGCUCAACCUGGAACUUGCCUUUGUGACUGUGGUUCUUGAGUAUGGUAGAGGUCAGCGGAAUUUCCGGUGUAGCGGUGGAAUGCGUAGAGAUCGGAAAGAACACCAGAGGCGAAGGCGGCUGACUGGACCAAUACUGACGCUGAGGCUCGAAAGCGUGGGGAGCAAACAGGAUUAGAUACCCUGGUAGUCCACGCUGUAAACGAUGAACACUAGAUGUCGGGAGAGGUUCUUCCGGUGUCGUCGCUAACGCAGUAAGUGUUCCGCCUGGGGAGUACGCUCGCAAGGGUGAAACUCAAAGGAAUU